AGGCUGGCGGGUGCAGCUGGUUCGCCCCGUCCGCCAGGCGGGACGCGUCGCAAGAGGGAACCCGGUGGGAAUCCGGGACUGCCCCGCAGCGGUGAGCGGGAACGACCGCCGUCACAACGCACUGGGUCCGGUGAGAGGACCUGGGAAGCGACGGCCAGUAGAUGUCCUCCGAGGAGGAUGUGCCCGCGAGUCCGAAGACCUGCCAUCUGCCCGCGUACGGA
rnacentral:ncRNA from 1 species